rnacentral:rRNA from 1 species
AGAGUUUGAUCCUGGCUCAGGAUGAACGCUAGCUACAGGCUUAACACAUGCAAGUCGAGGGGAAACGACAUCGAAAGCUUGCUUUUGAUGGGCGUCGACCGGCGCACGGGUGAGUAACGCGUAUCCAACCUACCCACCACUUGGGGAUAACCUUGCGAAAGUAAGACUAAUACCCAAUGACGUCUCUAGAAGACAUCUGAAGGAGAUUAAAGAUUUAUCGGUGAUGGAUGGGGAUGCGUCUGAUUAGCUUGUUGGCGGGGUAACGCCACAAGGCGACGAUCAGUAGGGGUUCUGAGAGGAAGGUCCCCCANAUUGGAACUGAGACACGGUCCAAACUCCUAGGGAGGCA